rnacentral:rRNA from 1 species
AUUGAACGCUGGCGGCAUGCUUUACACAUGCAAGUCGAACGGUAACAGGCCGCAAGGUGCUGACGAGUGGCGAACGGGUGAGUAAUGCAUCGGAACGUGCCCAGUCGUGGGGGAUAACGCAGCGAAAGCUGCGCUAAUACCGCAUACGAUCUAUGGAUGAAAGCGGGGGACCGUAAGGCCUCGCGCGAUUGGAGCGGGCGAUGGCAGAUUAGGUAGUUGGUGGGGUAAAGGCGCACCAAGCCAACGAUCUGUAGCUGGUCUGAGAGGACGACCAGCCGCACUGGGACUGAGACACGGCCCAGACUCCGACGGGAGUCAGCAGUGGGGAAUUUUGGAAAAUGGGCGCAAGCCUGAUCCAGCAAUGCCGCGUGCAGGAAGAAGGCCUUCGGGUUGUAAACUGCUUGUGUACGGAACGAAACGGUCCGGGUUAAUACCUGGGGCUAAUGACGGUACCGUAAGAAUAAGCACCGGCUAACUACGUGCCAGCAGCCGCCGUAACAC